rnacentral:lncRNA from 1 species
UAAAGCAUCAUCUAGUCGCAGGCCUAAUCUUUCCUAUAAGAAUUGACUAUCUUUUCUAGGAUCGACUUUACUUCUUAGUUGGAAAUUUCUACUUGUCCACUGGUUUACGGGUGGUAGGCAGUGGAGAUGCAGUGAGUAACAUGAUAUUCCAUGAAAAGAGCUUCCAUAACCCGGUUACAAAAGUGUGUCCCCCAGUCACUUAU